rnacentral:piRNA from 1 species
AGAUGGCUGGAAAAAACAAUGGAUGG